GUCAUGGAUGCGACGAAUUUAGAUGCAAAUAGGCAGUUGGGUAAUUUAUUAAAAGCCCCUCAUAAUUUUCUAAUUUUUCUAAUGACUCCCCUGUAACCACUACGCACUUUAAUCCAACCUUUGAACAAUCGGAGGGGACGGUGGUGGUUUUAGAUGAUUCAAUACUUGACCCAGGAAAACACACGGUUGUUGUCUUUAAGAAAAAUGCUAAUACAAAUGAAGGAGAAGCUUUGAGGGAUGAUAUAACCAACGACAGUGGAAAAAAAGUUCAUAAUUUCAAAGCUUGGGGUUCAAAUGAUAAAGACGGAUCAAGCUGUAAUGGUAAAAAACUCAAUCGAACCAUCCGUAAUCGUGGGGACAAGUUUAAAUUAGUUGGUACUGCCCGUGUACCUUUGACUGAAUCUUUGAAUUCUAUGGUUGAGUUAGUUAAUGCUCAACUAGACAUAGAAAUGGGCAAAGAACUAAAGGCUUCGAAAGGAAAGCAGACACCGGGGUCUAGGAAUUCCAAGCAAUAAGGUUGGUAUUAAUCCUAUUUUUUAUUUUUUAUGGAUUUGACAGUUUUCUCUUGGAUUUGUUAGGGAUGUGCUAGUUCGAAAUUUCCUCGCAUUUUUCGUAAGUACAGUAGAAAACAUAAGCCCAGUAUUGUUAGCUUGCCAGAGACGAGGGCUAGUAGUUUCGAAGCAGGAUUUGGGGUUCAAGGGGCUUGCUUUCACGUGGCAUAGAGGGGGCUCUAUGAAAGAUUGGAUAGGGCUAUUGGUAAUGAUGCUUGGUUGAGAACUUUUCCGUACAGUUUUUUCACUCACCUUUCAAGGAUCAAGUCGGAUCAUAGAUUGUUGCUUUUCUCUCUCAAGCUGGAUGUUAAUUUGCCUAAAGGAUGUCCUUUUAUAUUUUUAGCUGGUUGGGUAGAACAUCCUAAUUUUUCGAAUUUUUUUAAAGAGAAGUGGUGCUUUAAAGGUAACAUGGUUGAAUCUCUGAAUCUUUUCACCUAUAACAUUAAAGAA